rfam:Pseudomonas fuscovaginae strain IRRI 6609 Pf_IRRI_6609_contig_23.23, whole genome shotgun sequence.
CUUCAUGGUGGCUGUGCGCAGGGCAUCUUCGGAUGCGCCGGUUUCCUAACGUACCGGUCUGCUAACCUGCGUACGACCGCCACCCAU